rnacentral:lncRNA from 1 species
AUAAUAAGUAACUUAGAUAUUUAUGGUCCAGUUGAUUUUAUGUCGUUUGAAUAUAUGUGGUUUUGUGAGAUUAAUAAAAUAUUUGUGGUUUUUAUGCAAAAAUUGUGAAAAUGGUUUUCUACCUUUGUGGUAGCUUGGUUUUAAAGGUAAAGGUUUUCCUGUUGGAAAUGGUUUUAAAAAGAAUUUUUCGAUUUUCAUGAUUUUUAGUAUUUCAAAAUGAGUUUCAAAGUAGGAAACGUUAUAAACGAAUAGAUGUGGUUUUAGGAUGAAAAUAUGGUGAACUUAUGAUGGAUUGAAUGUGAAAGUGGUUUAUGUGAUGUGGUGAUUGCAUUUGGAUGUGUUUACAAUAUGGUUGUAUCUUAUACUUGUGCGACGCUGUGCAAAUACAGGGGAGACUCUAUCCGUGUGAACAGUGGGUUUCCUAUAUUUGUGGCGGAUCUGACAUCCCCUGGGGUCAAGGCUUU